AAGACUAUAGACCUGCGGAGUACCUGCGGAAGGAUCAUUACCUAGAGUUUGUGGACUUCGGUCUGCUACCUCUUACCCAUGUCUUUUGAGUACCUUCGUUUCCUCGGCGGGUCCGCCCGCCGAUUGGACAACAUUCAAACCCUUUGCAGUUGCAAUCAGCGUCUGAAAAAACAUAAUAGUUACAACUUUUAACAAUGGAUCUCU
rnacentral:misc_RNA from 1 species